GGGGGACUGGCCCCAGCGGCUUGGCCCCCAGCCGUCUGUGGCAGUGCGUCCCCUCUCCGCGGGAUCGUCGCCAUGGUCCUGCGAUCCUAGGAGUCGGGCAAGGCGGAACCUGCCUGAAGAAACCUCAAGCGGAGAUUCAAGGAAGCACCACGUGAUCCCUAAGGAUCCCAAAGAUGCGUCGGGCAUGCAUGGGCGGUGUGAGGGUGCGUCUCCCUGACAGGUGUCCCCGCUGGGAUUUCGAGGAAUUAUCCGAUGAAAAGUAGAAGAGGUUGAAUGACUUUCAGUGGCCUUUUCUUCACAGAUUAUUCAGUAAGAACAGUCUCAGGAAAACAGGACCUUCAACAGAGAUAAGAGAAUUAAAAUAUGCAGACUAACAACUCUGGGAAUGGGCUGACCAGCCUGAUAAGAAUAGGCUGAUGGCACCUACAGAAGGCCACAAAACACUGACCAAGAAAGCAAUGACCAACAAAGCAAUGACCUGAGACUGCACAUUUCACAAGAAUGUUUUGAUCAUCAUUUUUUCUAAUUUCCCUUAAAAACCCCUGAUAUGGAGACAGAACUCGGCGGUCUUUGAACACUAGUUCACUGCCUCCCCUGGGUUGUUGGAUUCCUGAAUAAAGCUAACCAUCCUUUCACCAAUGCUCAUCUCUUGAACUUUCAAGUGACAAGUGGUCUGGACCUGAAUUUCGUUACAAAACCUAUGUAUACCUUACCUUACAUGG
rnacentral:antisense_RNA from 1 species